rnacentral:rRNA from 1 species
UACGAAGGGGGCUAGCGUUGCUCGGAAUCACUGGGCGUAAAGCGCACGUAGGCGGAUUGUUAAGUCAGGGGUGAAAUCCUGGAGCUCAACUCCAGAACUGCCUUUGAUACUGGCGAACUCGAGUCCGGGAGAGGUGAGUGGAACUGCGAGUGUAGAGGUGAAAUUCGUAGAUAUUCGCAAGAACACCAGUGGCGAAGGCGGCUCACUGGCCCGGUACUGACGCUGAGGUGCGAAAGCGUGGGGAGCAAACAGG